CGGAGGGACAUUACAGAGUUGUAAAGACUCCCAACCCUUUGUGAACCUCAUACCUUUUCCUUUCUUGGUUCCGGGGGGGGCCCCCGGGGAAGGGGCCACAGCCUCUUGGGUGAGGUGCCUGCCGGCGACCCACAAAACAAACUCUGUUGCUGUAACGUGUCACCUCUGAAUUACAAACCAUAAAAUCAAACCAAAACUUUCAACAACGGAUCUCUUGGUUCUGGCAUCGAUGAAGAACGCAACGAAAUGCGAUAAGUAAUGUGAAUUGCAAAAUUCAGUGAAUCAUCCAAUCUUUGAACGCACAUUGCGCCCGCCGGCAUCCCGGCGGGCAUGCCUGUUCGAGCGUCAUUUCAACCCUCAAGCACUGGUUUGCUUGGCGUUGGGGCACGCUACGGCCCAGCCCGUAAGCCCCAAAGUGAUCGGCGGGCUCGCAUCCGACCCCGAACGCAGUAAUGUUACAGCCUCCCUUUAGGGAGUCGGGCGGGUUUCCUUGCCGCUAAACACCCCCCCCCCAAUGGAAAUGUUGACCUCCGAUCAAGUAGGAAUACCCGCUGAACUUAAUCAUAUCAAUAAACGGAGG
rnacentral:rRNA from 1 species